rnacentral:rRNA from 1 species
CCUACGGGAGGCAGCAGUGAGGAAUAUUGGUCAAUGGGCGGGAGCCUGAACCAGCCAAGCCGCGUGAGGGAAGAAGGUACAGUGUAUCGUAAACCUCUUUUGUCAGGGAACAAAGGCGGGGACUAGUCCCCGGAUGAGGGUACCUGAAGAAAAAGCAUCGGCUAACUCCGUGCCAGCAGCCGCGGUAAUACGGAGGAUGCGAGCGUUAUCCGGAUUUAUUGGGUUUAAAGGGUGCGAAGGCGGCCUGUUAAGUCAGCGGUAAAAGGCCGGGGCUCAACCCCGGCGAGCCGUUGAAACUGGCGGGCUGGAGUUGGGGAGAGGUACGUGGAAUGCGCGGUGUAGCGGUGAAAUGCUUAGAUAUCGCGCAGAACCCCGAUUGCGAAGGCAGCGUACCGGCUCCUCACUGACGCUGAGGCACGAAAGCGUGGGUAUCGAACAGGAUUAGAUACCCGAGUAGUC